AUAUAUAUAUGAGUUAUAGGAAAAAGUUUCAUUCUUGUUUUGUCCAUCUAGUGGUAUAUAUUUUUAGGUUUACAUGGCACUUAUCCAAAAAUAUUUUGGUAGUAUUUUUUUUCGUUUACGCUACCAAAGCUGUCUACCAUGGUGAACCAACCAGAAUAGAAAAGGAUGAUAACUGGAACAACUCUGGCGCUGAAAUAAAUUAUCUAGCAAUGUUAUCGACAGACGACAUUUUUGAUGGUCAGAAAAUUUUUCAAGAUGGCGAAGGAUUUCUGGAAUCUAGAAAUAAGAAAAGUCAGACCAGAUGCAGAGUAAAAAAAAUUCAAAAGACCCAUGAAGAAAUUGGUGCAGAGUUCUUUCCUAAACAAUAUAAUGAAUAUGAAUGCGUUCCUUUCGAUGGUGAUCUUCUUGAUGGAAAUGCUCAUAAUUUGGGAACCUGCAGGGUUCAAAAAGGAAGAUGUGCUGGCAUCCAAAAGUACCAUUAUUAUUUGAAAAAAAAGUAUGGAGAAAUGUGUUGGAAAGUGGAAAAGAAAAUUGUCAAUGCCGGAUGUAAUUGUGUACCUUCUAUAGUGUCUGGUUAAUUUUACUUAUCUUCAUGAGUAUAUAUUGUAUGGAAGAAAUAAAUGGAGUUUUUAUGUUCAUGAUGUAUGUUACGUCAAUGACCCAGAAUGCACCACACUGCAGAAAAAAAUUGUUUUCGGAAAAAUGCUGUCAGAUACUCAGUGUGUCGCCGUUCAUGAGAAAAUCGUCAAAGUGGGUUGCAAAUGUCAUGAACAUUUCAAAUUUCAUUUUCAUUGAGUUCAUAUAGUAUAAGUAUUUUUGGAGCUGUGACUUGAAUUAAAAUAUUUUGCAUCGAA